AAGCGUGUCGCCCCGCCCCUUCCUUUUCCCCGCCGGAAGCGGUCGGCGGGGCCCUUCUAGGCACCGCCCGCCGGUCGCUCGCUGGCACGGACGCCAUCUCGCGGUGCGGUCCCGGCCCCGCCGUCGCCGCCGGCCCCGCCGCCGCCGCUCCCUCCCCCUUCACGGCGCCCUGCCCCUUUGGAGGUCUCUCCCCGCGCCCUGCCUUGGCGGCAGCGGCUCCGCACGGCGGCGGGCGUCCCCUCGGGGCAGGAGGGCGGCGCAGGGCGCCGUCGCGGGGCGGGGCGGGGCGGGGCGGGCCUGCCUUGGCCGGGCCGGUGGGGGCAGGAGCGCCGCGCCGGCGGAGCCCGGUUGGCGGCAUGUUUGUUCCCUGCAUCCAUCCGAACCUCUCUUUGUGAGCCUAUCUGCGUGACUAACGGGGAAAGCAGUUAAAGUUGAGCGCAAACGCGCCGCUUUUAAGUUCGCGGGUGUGUGAGCGGGGACGGGAUGGCGACGGAAAGUUAGAACCGGCCUUGACUCACACCCGGGAUCAAACCUGCCGACGCCGUUUCAUACGCUGCCCUAAAUUUCCCGACCGACACAAUGGUGCUGGAAGCGCGUUUCACUUGUUUUCCCCCAGCACGGAGCGCGAUGCCCGCACAAGAUCAGUUAAUAUUCAGAGAGUAAAGCCGAAACAUUUCUCUACUGCUGUAACUCUUUCUUUCCUUUAGUCGUAAUUAUUCCUGAGCCCCAGGUUGAAAGAAGUGUGUCAGAAUCACUUUCUACACAUCAUCUCUCAAGAGGCUUGUGGCUGUACUGUAGACAUCAAAGCUUAAUGAUGUUAUCUUUGGCAAAAAGAUCUGUUCGAACAUUGAUUGCUUGACUCUUCUGGGCCUGGGGAACCAUUGCCAGUGGUUCAGGUAAAAAUGUUACAAAAUAGUGAUCUUGGUUGGAUCAGUGUAUGUCCAGAAGGGACCAGUGAAUGUCCAUUCAGUGGAACUAAAACGUAAUUACACACUGUGAUAGGAAAAUAUUGUCAGUCUGUAUGCUUGGGUAGUUAUGUUACUACACUAAGGGAAUAUCACUCAUCCUAUCUUUUCCCACCUGGAUGCUUUUAAGGUGUAACUAGGUGGACACUCAGGUUGUUAUCACAUACCAGAGACUGGAGGUAAUUUUAAAGUUUGUGUUACAUAUCUCCUGUUUGCAGAAUGAAUUGUGGCUUUCAGGGCUUCAGCAGUUGCUUGAUCAUGUACUUCAGAGAGAUUUGAAUGAGUUGCGACUCACUGCUUCAGCUGAUGCUUCAACAAAUUGUUUUCCUGCUUGACUUCAGUGAGGUUCUUUCCAAGGCUCUGACAGAAUGACUAAUGUAGCUAUAGAUCUUGGCUGUCACUUUAAUAUAUUUUCAACAUUGCUUUUAUCUAGCAGCAGAUCAGUGAAGAGAAAGUUUAAGCAGCAUGUAAAGCAUGUUAUAAACCUGAAGAGACUUUUCUGGCUUCUGUGUUGCUUGAAAGUGUUGCUUGGUGCUAAAAGGACUAAAAUGGCAUAUUAAUGCAUAAGAUCUCACAACAGCUGUUGUUAAGUAUUCUGGAGCUAUAUUAGAGCUCAUUUAGACACACAUGUACUCCUGUAACUCUCCAUCUCAAAUUACUACAAGAAACUCUUUAAGAACUGCAGGAGAUAAGUGUUUCAAGUAAGUCUGCCACGGGCUGGGAACCAGUCAAAAGUCAUAACCAAGGAAGGGCCAGCCUUAAGAUGGAAGUUAAGUGAGGAAAGCCAAGGGAGAUGCUGAGUCACACAGGAGGAAUGAACUAGAAGAGCCGGCUCCUCUAAGAUCACUUCAAAUGGCUGUGCAUUCAUUUUGUGUUAAAACAUAGUCCCUGUAUGCACGCAGAAUACCGGCCAGAUUUCAGCUUUGAGUACUGACUUGCUGUCCAUUGAGAUGUUCUUUAGCUGCUCCUUCCCCCCUUACUUGCUACCGAUCAUUUGUAGUAUUUCCACCACGCUCUCAAACAGUAGCAGCUUUUGAAACAUACAGACCUGUGCCAGGAUCUAAACUGCUGACAGAGCUGAAGAGCUCCACGGCUAGUUGCUUGUCUUGAUGGACAGCUGAUCCCCUGCUGUGUUCUGUUUGUCUUUCCUUGCUGGUUGCAGCUGCAUUUGCCUUCUGAUGCUCUUUCUUGCCUCCAAGGAAAGAGAUCAAACAUUAUGUUCUCAUCGUGUGGUCCAAAAUGUCUGUGAGAGAUUGGCUAUUAUCAAAACAUAUUUGAUAGGAACUUUGUUCCAAUUAAUGUGAAAUGUUUCAGCUGACAUAUGAGUUGUCAUCUUUUACAGUGACUGCUUGUUAAUGAUCACAAAUGAAUGUCCACUCUCUUGGAAACAGGCUCAUCUGUCUCUCUGUUACGUAAGUGUGCAGCGGAGAGGCUGAGCCAGGGCAGUGCAGUAACAUUCUGAGCGGGUAGCCGAAGCUAGAGGUGAGCUAUCGCAAACAUGUCUGGGCAGUUAAAACACCAGUUGUGCUAUUUGCCAUAUAGAAACAACCCCUUAUGAGAAGACACUGUUGAAAUUACGAGAAAUGCAAAGGUGUGGUUGGACUGGGACAGCUGACCUUGCUGUCACAUCACCCAUAUAUUUAUAAUGCUGAAACUAUUGGAAAACACACAAGUUUCUACUUGUCUACCUGACUGUAUCAGAAGAGGGGCUCAAGUGUGGUCUGAAAGCUAAAAAUUCUCAUCUUGAAUAGCUGAGACUCCCACUGAAGCCAGCAGAGACAGUGCAGGAAAAGGGCCUUUAUGAAGAGGCCAACUGUUACUGAUCUGUUACAUACCUGAUACUUCCAUUGUUUCAUUCAGCCUGUAAAGCACAUAAUUGAACAAAUGUGUCUGCUGGGGUCUUCAAUCCUGUUGUUGGAAAAGGUUUGGGAAUCCCUGUUCCAAAGUCAUAAAACAGUGGAGAUUCUAGUUCGCAGGUUGGUAAAGAUGAAUUUUUUCAUUCACUUCACAGGCAGCUGCUCAGCUCAGCAUCUCUUCUGGAGGAGGAUGGAUUCUGGAGCCAAACUUCAGCCACCUCUUCUGAAAAUUUUGCCCUGCAUCCUCUUCACUUUAGCUUCACGGUCAAAAACUGGAAUCUGGAAAGACAUGGACUCUUUGUAGGUCAUGUGCAUCUUGAGCAAAUGUGCGCAGCCACAUAGGACACCAAGACCUUGUCACGGGUGGGCGCUGGACAAAGGAAGAAAGUUUUAAAGCCAACAAGAGAGUGUUAUAUUUUUAGUGCUAAUUUCAAAUCUCAGGUUAAAGUAUUUACCUCUGAAAAAGUGUUCUCUCCAGUUGUUGGACAAGAUGCUGGAAUUACAGGAUGAACUUAUAUAGCCCACAUUUUGUAGGAGAUAAUGCAUAAUAUGAUCUUUUAGCUUUGAAAUCUGUUAAAUUGAUUAACUAUGUUAAUAGUUUUAGAUCACUUUUCUCUCCUUUUUCAUCUAUGCGCACUGUCAAGGAAGGGCUUGGCAUUGAAAUAGCCAUUAUUUAAAUGAUGCCCUCAAGCACAGGAAGAUAUAUGAGAAGCAAAAGAUGUGUGACUCCAAAAGAACUUACCAACUUUGGACCGCUUUAUAAUUUCUUUGGUUUUUUAUGUGUGUAGAUGAACACAAAACCCAUCUUAUUCUCUGGCUAUGCUAAAUCAAUCAAGUGAAUGCUAAUGUCCUGCUAGCUCCAGCAAUUCAGCUGGAAUUGAACUAGCAGAGACGAUGCCCAGAGCUGAGGUGACAUCAUUGUGAAUGGCUCUGAUGCACAAAUACAACAGAAGGAGAAUAGGAACUAGCCAUUUUAAUGUCAACUCUCUUAGAAGUACAGGAUAAAAAGAAUCAUCAUUGAUCAAAUAGAAACAGACAGGGAAAAAAAAAGGCAGAGAUGGAGAAAUCUUAUUUUUCAAGCUCCCAAAGGAAAAAUAUAGUGGAGAUGAAAAUAGAAUUCUAUCAGAAAGAAUGGGUUCUUAAUAGUCCUUUAACAUAAAACUCAUGAAACAGUGA